UCGAGAAUCUUUCGCAAUGCCCGAAAGGGUGACGAAGCGACGCCGCGUGCGGGAGGAAGGCCUUCGGGUUGUAAACCGCUGUCGGGAGUUAAGAAAUGCAAGGAUGUUAAUAGCGUUCUUGCUUGACUAAGGCUCCGGAGGAAGCCACGGCUAACUCUGUGCCAGCAGCCGCGGUAAUACAGAGGCGGCAAGCGUUGUUCGGAAUUAUUGGGCGUAAAGAGCACGUAGGCGGCUGUGUAAGUCGGUUGUGAAAGCCUUCCGCUCAACGGAAGAACGGCAUCCGAUACUGCAUGGCUUGAGUGUGGGAGGGGAGAGUGGAACUUCUGGUGGAGCGGUGAAAUGCGUAGAUAUCAGAAGGAACACCGGCGGCGAAGGCGACUCUCUGGUCCAUAACUGACGCUGAGUGUGCGAAAGCUAGGGGAGCAAACGGGAUUAGAUACCCUAGUAGUCCCUGAGCGGGCUGGCAAGGCGCAU
rnacentral:rRNA from 1 species